CAAUAGCGUAUAUUAAAGUUGUUGCAGUUAAAAAGCUCGUAGUUGGAUUUCUGGUCGGAGCGACCGGUCGGCGUCCUUUGUGGCGUGUGCACUGUUGUCGGCUCCGUCCAUCCUAGUGGGAAGGGCGCGUUGGCAUUCAUUUGUCGGCGCGUAGGCCCCGCUACGUUUACUGUGAAAAAUUAGAGUGUUUAAAGCAGGCGUUUGCUGUGAAUACAUUAGCAUGGAAUAAUGAGAUAGGACUUUGGUACUAUUUUGUUGGUUUGCGCACCGAAGGUAAUGAUUAAUAGGGAUAGUUGGGGGUAUUCGUAAUUCCGUUGUCAGAGGUGAAAUUCUUGGAUUUACGGAAGACGAACGACUGCGAAAGCAUUUACCAAGGAUGUUUUCAAUUAAGUCAAGAACGAAAGUUAGGGGAUCGAAGACGAUCAGAUACCAU
rnacentral:rRNA from 1 species